UCGCAGAUCAGAAUGCUGCGGUGAAUACGUUCCCGGGCCUUGUACACACCGCCCGUCACACCAUGGGAGCCGGUAAUACCCGAAGUCAGUAGUCUAACCGCAAGGGGGACGCUGCCGAAGGUAGGAUUGGCGACUGGGGUGAAGUCGUAACAAGGUAUC
rnacentral:rRNA from 1 species